GACGAACGCUGGCGGCGUGCUUAACACAUGCAAGUCGAACGGUGAACUCCGCUUGCGGGGGGAUCAGUGGCGAACGGGUGAGUAACACGUGGGCAACCUGCCCUCCGCUCUGGGAUAACUCCAAGAAAUUGGGGCUAAUAACGGCUAUGUCCGCUGACCGCCUGGUCUGGGGGUGGAAGGAUUUAUCGGCUGGGGAUGGGCCCGCGGCCUAUCAGCUUGUUGGUGGGGUAGUGGCCUACCAAGGCGACGACGGGUAGCCGGCCUGAGAGGGUGACCGGCCACACUGGGACUGAGACACGGCCCAGACUCCUACGGGAGGCAGCAGUGGGGAAUAUUGCGCAAUGGGCGGAAGCCUGACGCAGCGACGCCGCGUGCGGGAUGACGGCCUUCGGGUUGUAAACCGCUUUCAGCAGGGACGAAGCGAAAGUGACGGUACCUGCAGAAGAAGCACCGGCCAACUACGUG
rnacentral:rRNA from 1 species